GCAGUCUUCAUCCAAACACAACCCACGUUGCCCCUUGAAUUGAGCCGAACGCCAUUAGCUAUGGCUUCUGCUGAAGGAGGAGACAAGUACCGGUCGUUCCUGCACGGCGAUGGCGAGAAGAACACCGUGUGGAGGCAUGGAGCCCCUCCCAACUACGACCUGGUGAACAAGCUCUUCGAGGAAGAGAGGACCAAGGAAUGGCCGGAGGGGUCUCUGGAAGAGAAGGUGCAGCGCCUGCUCAAAAGCUGGGAGAUGGAGAUGGUCCACAAGGUGCGCCCCGAGGACCAGAAGAGCGUCCACCCUAGGAAUUACUCCGCGAGCACCAACGGGCUGAAGCCUCUGACGCGGGAGGAGGUGACCGCCAUCGGCGGCUACAACGCGUUCCUGGCGACCAAGCUGCCGCCGGAGCACCGCAUCUACGACCCGGACAAGGAGACGGUCGACUCCGGCAUGUCGACGUUCCUCACGGCGUUCCCCAGGGGCUUCGCCAUCGAGGUGCUGGACGUGUACAGCGGCCCGCCGAGGGUCGCCUUCAAGUUCCGGCACUGGGGUUACAUGGAGGGGCCGUUCAAGGGCCACCCCCCUCACGGCCACCGCGUCGAGUUCUUUGGCGUCUGCAUUUUCCACGUUGACGACGACACGAGGGUGGAGAAGGCCGAGUACUUCUACGAGCGUGGCAACUUCCUCGCGAGCUUCUUGAUAUCCUAAAUCGGCUUCAAAUUGACCAAGUCCACCAAAUCGAUCCCCCUCAUCCCACUCUCGUCCUCCGUUUCUCGCGUUUGAGUUGUCGCUUUCAUCCACUUUUGCUCCCUGUCCACGCCGCUAUCCUUGUCCGGCAUCGUAGAUGUCGACACCGAGCACCCCGUCCCCCACCGCCUCCAUGUGGGGGUACCGACCAUCGUCUCUUGCAAGGCGGAGAACAUCGCUCGAACAGAUUGGCGCAACCGGCAGCGCGUAGGGAAGUUACGAAGAUGGUAGCUGCGGAGAGGGGAGUGGCGGAGAAGGCUAGAGACAUGGAUAUAUGUAUGUCUAGUCUGGCAACCGCCUCCGUGUCGUCCGCCGUGAAAUAACAAGGCGCCAAACUCUGUUCCACCACCCAAAUGGGCCAUCCCGGAUGGCUGGACGGAAGACGUCGCUGCCGCGGAGACAAUGUAGGAGUCGCCGCAAUUCCAAAGGUUGCGGACAACAUUGUGAAACGUCGGCGCCGUGCAGGCCCACCUGUUAUUCAACGAUAUGCCCGACCAAGACCAGGACACAAUUAUGAUGGACAUGAUACAUGAUGGUCAAGAGUCUAUGCAUUAUGACUUAUUGAUACCAAUUCCCCAUGUAUGAAGUCGGGCAAACAUCGUAAAAAGGAAAGAACCAAAGGCAAGAGGUCCGGCAUUCACAAGCCAUGAGAAUGUGUUGUUAUGUGAAUCUUGGUUGGCCACAAGCAUGUAUGCAAUUUGUGGAACCGAGCAAAAGGGUGUUAAGUAUUGGUAAACAAAAUCCACAAAUACUACUAUGAACACAAGAAGUAUGUGCAGCCGAACCCUAUCCAUACCACUCGCAGUGAGGGCUCUUUCUAAUAUAGAUGGUCCAUGAUCCAAGAAAGCGUCAAAAAGUUUUGCGUUUACUAUACACAAGUGGUUGGCUGAACCAAAAUGAGAUUGGAGUCCAAAGCCAUGUUGACUUGCUUCACAUUGUCAUCAUUUGAAUUUCUAGCUCCGGUUGUUGCAUUGUUUUUGUUGGGAUCUAGAAACUCAAUUGUUCUGUCUAUGGGGUGUCCCCUGGCCACGUAUAUAAAGAAGUGGAGGAGGGGAGGGGCCGGCCCUCUCUAUGGCGUGCCCUAGGGGAGUCCUACUCCCACCGGGAGUAGGAUUCCCCCUUUCCUAGUAGAACUAGGAGCCCUUCCAAGUAGUAGGAGUAGGAGAGAAGGAAAGGGAAAAGAGAAGAGAAGGAAGGAGGGGGCGCAGCCCUUCCCCCUAGUCCAAUU
rnacentral:rRNA from 1 species